AGAGGGGUCCCACGCGUUGGUUUGUGGGUUGAGCUGUAAACUCAAAAGCUAUAGGCUAUCGAAGGUUCGAUUCCUUUCCACUCUA